rnacentral:rRNA from 1 species
GUAACGAAUAUUCCGCAAUGGGCGAAAGCCUGACGGAGCAAUGCCGCGUGUGGGAUGAAGCGGUUUCGCCGUGUAAACCACUGUCAGGAAAUAGAAAAGAUGAUCAUUUCCAGAGGAAGGGGCGACUAACUCUGUGCCAGCAGUCGCGGUAAGACAGAGGCCCCGAGCGUUAGUCGGAAUCACUGGGCUUAAAGGGUGCGUAGGCGGGCGUGUAAGUGUCUCGUGAAAGCCCCGGGCUCAACCCGGGAACCGCGGGGCAUACUGCACGUCUCGAGGAAACUAGAGGCCGGUAGAACGAUCGGUGGAGCGGUGGAAUGCGUAGAGAUCGAUCGGAACGCCAAGGGUGAAGACAGCCGGCUGGGGUUUUCCUGACGCUGAGGCACGAAAGCGUGGGGAUCAAACAGGAUUAGAUACCCCUGUAGUCC